AGUGAGGUUAUAUAAAAUAACACACAAAUUAAUAUUGUUGUUUAUAAGUAAUCUUAUAAGUUCUGCACCCUAAUUCUUUCUUCUAGAAGCUGAAGUAAAUGAAUCAACGGAGUUAUUUCCAUUUAGACAGCAGCCCCAAUCACCCUUAACGGAUACCUACGGAUAAGUUGCUUUUAUAGUUUAAGGGCCUAUUUUACAAGUGCCGUUUAACCUCAAACCGAAAUUUAAACUGCACAUGCUUGCAUUGCAAUUUGCAGUUUAAACUUCGGUUUAAAGUAUAAACGACACUUGUAAAAUAUAACAACUAAUUAUGAUUUUUAUCGCACCCGUAAUGUGUUACCAAGAGCAAAGGACAUUUCUAAUUUCGCAACGAUAGAAUGCCGGCCUGCACUCAGUACUACAUCCAUUAUCAGUGAUGUCCAAGAUGGUAACAAUGGUUUCGCAGAAAGGGUACAUACAAGUGGUUUUUGCGUUGAAUCAGAUGUUGAGCCCUUUUCGCCGGAACAUUCUGAUUUUAUUCCAUCAAGCGAUUCGGACAUGGAAUUAAAAACAAUUUCAAAGAAAGCUCCUUCUAGGAAAAAGAAAACUACGUAUAAGAAAUCCGUAACAUUUAAGCAACCAAAAAAACUUGCGAGGACAAUAAUUAUUGAAGAAGUAGAUUUUGCGGAACCUCAAAAAGAAUUAGAAGGUAUGGAGGAACUUCCAACUAGAACUAGCAAGCCUAGGAAAAGAAAAAAGAAUAUUAACAAUUGGAACCGAAAUGUAUCAAAAAAAAGAAGACUGCACGGAGAAGCCUACUAUGUUUCAUCAAGAGGAAAAUUUGUGCCUGGAACAUCUUUAAAAGAUCCUUGUCCACCAACUUGUAGACGUAAGUGCAGCAAUAAGGUUUCCUUGAAGUAUUUUAGAAUUACUACAAGUUGGAUUCUUAUGAAAAACAAAGGGACUUCAUUAAUAGCAACACGGAAAAAAUUAAGAAAAAAUGGACCACUACACAAAAUUCAAGACGGGAUAGCACAAUUUUAUUUUUUUUUACCUCGAACUGAUAACAAACUUCAAGUUUGCAAAAAAAUGUUUAUUAAUACUCUUGGCGUACACAAAGGUGUCGUGGACAUACAGUACCGAGCAAAAGUAAAGAAACUUUUUUUUUUAAUUUUUAAAUUUAUUUUAUUAAAGUUAACAAAAAUUAUUUUAUCCUAUAAUACUACACCAAACUAGAUAAUAAAAAUAAAACAUAAACAAUAUAAUUCUAUUUGUUAUAAAGUUUUUUUUUUAACUUAAAAAAAAACAGGGAUCAAAAAUAGAGAAAAACAUAUUUAAAGAAAAUAUAUAAUAACAACAAAUUAAUAUUUAGUUGCAUAUCCCUUAUUUUUAAUAACUGCAAGACAUCUCCUUUUCAUAGAUCCAAUCAGAUUCCCUAAGAUCUCCUUGGGUACAGAAUGCCAUGCAGCUUCAACUGCUUCAAACAACUCGUCUCCAUUUUAAAAUUUUUCGGGAUGUUCCUUACGAAUUUUUUUGUCUACUAAAUCCCAUAGAUUAUCUAUGGGAUUAAGGUCAGGACUCUGAGCUGGCCACUUAACAACAGUUAUUUUUUUGUCCUCAAAAAAUUUUUUUAUAAUUUUAGCUGUAUGCUUCGGAUCAUUGUCGUGUUGAAACCUCCAUUGUAAUGGCAUGUUUUCCUCUGCAUAUGGCAACAUAUUAUCAGUUAAUAUUUCUAAAUAUUUAAACCGAUCCAUAAUCCCAUGAAUUUUGACAAUGGGGCCCAUUUCCAUACCAGAGAAACAACCCCACACUUGUACAUUUCCCCCUCCAUACUUAACAGUGCCCAAAGUAUACUUUGGAUCAACUCUUUUAUUUUUAGGACGCCUGACCCAUACAAUACCAUCAGAAGAAAAUAAAUUAAACUUACUUUCAUCCGAAAAUAAUACUGUAUUCCAUCUUGCUUCUGACCAGUUUAAAUGGUCAUGUGCAAAUUGAAGUCGGGCGGUUCGAUUCUUCUUCGAAAUGAAGGGUUUCUUGGAUGGUUUUCUUGCCGGCAAGCCACUGUCCCUUAAACGUCUUCGAACUGUAUGGACACUAAUAUUUCCAUCGUCUAGUUGAGAUUUUAUAUCCACUGCUGUGUUAAAUGGAUUUUUAAGAGCUAAGGAUUUAAUCUUCUCGUCAACUCUAGGCGUCGUUUUUCUAGGCCUACCAGUUUUAGGUGGACUUAUUAAUGAGUUCCUAAUGGGGUGUAACUUUAUGGUUUUGGAAACGACUGAGCGGUUUAAUCCUAACUGCUUAGCAAUGAUUGCUUGCUUAACACCCGAUUGAUAUUUUGAUAUUAUCAAAUGUUUUAUACAUAACGCCAAAGUAAUACCUCGAGGCAUAUUUACAGGUUAUUCUUUAUUAAUUAAUAAAAUAUUAUUGUGUAUUGCUUCCGAUAAGCAAACAUAAUCUAAGAACUUUAAAAAUGUUUCUCUACUUUUGCUCCUCAUAAAAUAAAGAUAUGCAAAUAGAUUGUUUUUGUUGCAAGAAUUUAUAAAUACCAAAUAUGUUUUUGCAUUCCUUUGAACUUAUAGAAAUAAUGUGAGUAUUUGUUUAUUGGCAAUAGUCGAUUACUCUGGCUUUAUAUUUAUUAAAUAAAAUGUUUCUCCACUUUUGCUCGGUACUGUAGCUUUGAAUAAAAGAACUGAAGGCAAUUUAAGUACGAGUGACAACAGAGGAAAACACGUGAAAAAAUCAACAUCUCCUGAAAUAAUUCGAGCAAUUAGAAGUCACAUUGCGAAAUUUCCAGUAAUGGCUUCCCAUUAUUGCCGUGAAAAGACGCAAAGAAAAUACCUAUAUCCAGACUUAAACAUAACAAUAAUGUACGAAAGGUAUUUUGCAAUGACUACAAUUUGGGCUUUUUUCGUCCACGAAAAGAUCAGUGUAGAAUAUGUAUGGCCUAUAAUACCCCUGGAAGUGGCUAUUAGAUUGGAUAAUAAUGGACGAAAAACAGUGAUUUUUCAGAAGAAUUUCAACAAAUAUUUCGAUGUAGUACUCGAGUUUAAAAACUAGGUAUGUAAGUAUCCCUUUUGUAAACAGAAUUGUAUAUGAUAUACGUAUAUUCUCACCUAUCAUUUUCUUAAAAAGCAUUUUUCUCCUAGGCAAUUAUUUUCUACAAAAAAAAACGGUUUUUCAUUAAUGUUACCCUUACCCCCCCACCCACCCCUCACCUCUUACCAGUGAAAAAUUGUUUUCAAAAAUCAUUGUUUUCCAAAAAUAAUACGCAUGGAUAUCAGCUGAUUUUGUCGUUAAUAUCUAUUCUUAUAACACAGUUUGUUUAUUUAAAUUUGAUAUAUUUAUAUAUAUUGUAACGAAAUUCGGGAACACACUUUUAUUGUCAACGUCAAAAGCACUAACCUAACUCGCCUUGACUGUCGUUUAAUUGUUUCCAAGGUAAAAACUGACUAAACAAUUAAAACUAGACUAGAAUGUCAUGAAGCUCAUCCUUUUUAAAGCACGAUGGAACAGUUUCGAAAUAUUUAGAAUUAUCUUCAUUGUUUUUGCCCAAAGAGACCAAUAAUUUUAGGAGAAUACUGACAGUCAAAGCAAGCAAGUAAACAAAUUCUAGAAAAUUAGAACUACAGGGAUUUACAAUAAUAUGCUUCUUCACAGUCUGCUGACCAACUGAAUACCAUUUUGUCCUCCAUGAGCUUAUGUAGAGGCUUUGCAAGAUUAGCGAAAUUUCUUACAAAUCUUCUGUAAUAGGUACAAAGGCCCAGAAAGCUUCUUAACUGGUGUUUGUCAGUGGGUCGUGGCCAUUUUUCGAUUGCCUCUACUUUAUCUGGAUCAGUCUUGACACCUUUUUCUGAUAUUACAUGGCCAAGGUAUCGAACUUCUUUUUGAAAUAAGCAACAUUUUUUAGGACUUAGCACUUUCAGGUUCGCCUCUCGCAGUUUAACAAAUACCUUUUGAAUAUUCUUCAAAUGAUCUUCAAAUGUUUUCCCCAGUAUGAUAACGUCAUCCAGAUAAACUAAACAUGAUUCCCAAGUCAUUCCACGUAAAACUGUGUCCAUAAGCCUCUCAAAGGUAGAUGGAGCAUUGCAGAGUCCAAAGGGCAUUACUGUAAACUGCCAAAGUCCUGUUCCAGUCGAGAAUGCGGUCUUUUCCUUAUCUUCUGGGUGCAUUUUUACCUGCCAGUAUCCACUCUUUAGAUCGAGUGUUGAGAACCAUUGUGAACCUGAUAUGUCUAGGGUGUCGUCAAUUCUUGGUAGGGGAUAACUGUCUUUCUUGGUAAUGUCAUUCAGUCGCCGAUAGUCCACACAAAAUCUAGUGGAUCCAUCUUUUUUCUUCACUAGCACAACUGGAGAUGUCCAUGGACUCUGAGAAGGUUCUAUCACUUCUUGUGUCCUCAUUUCUUGAGUAACUAUGAGUAGCUUGUUUAGCUAUUGGAAUUCUUCGAGGUGCUUGUUUAAUCGGAGCAUUGUCUCCAGUGUUAAUUGGAUGCUGCACCAAAUCAGUUCUUCCCAGGCCUUUAUCGUGCAAGGAAAACACAUCUUGAUUUUCUUCAAGAAGACGUCGCAAUUUACUACACUGGUCCAUGGUUAAAUUGGCAGAAGAUUCUUCAAAUAGGUUUUGUAAACAUACAGGAAAAGGUCUGUUUGAAUAACGACUUCUAUCAGCAUUUUUCAUGACUGCCACUACUUCAGAGCAUACGCCAAUGUUCUCUCCUUGUUUCAGGUGUUGAUCAUAUCCUUUUAAAUUUACCAUUCGAACCAAAACAGUAGAUUUCUUCUGCGUAGAUAACGUCUUGGCUGGAAAAAUUCCGUGACCAUAUAGUUUGCAGUUUUCCAUGGCCUCAAUCAAAACAGUUUCUCCCUCUUUUCCUCCAGUUGUAGCAUUAACCACCACCUCUGAAUUUCCUGGUAUAGUAACAUCCUUGAAUACCUUAACGACUCUGGUAUUUACUUUAUCUUCAUAUAGGUGGUGCAUAAAAAUCUCUUUUUUUCUCGUCGUCAAUAUCCGGUUAUAUACAUCCAUUUUAAACUGCUGAGCAUUCAUAACAUCUAAUCCUAAUAUGACAUCAUCCAUGAUUUCUGCCACUAGUACUGGCUGUUGGAAUGUUGUUAAGUCAAUUGUAACUGUAGCUUCAUGCAAUCCAAGAAUAGGGAUCCUUUUUCCAUUUGCAGACUCCAGAAUUAAAUUAGGUGGUGCUGAAAGGCUACAGUGUGCUACGUUGUUGGGCUUCACGAUAGUAUGACUUGAUCCUGUAUCCACUACCAUCUCACAUUCACGGCCGCAUAUUUUUCCCGGUACUACCAAGCUCUCUCCAGGAUGUGGCAGCCGGUUUAGUCUUAUACGUGGGGCUUGGUAGCACCCAGCCAGCUUAAAGUUGAAGUUUUCCUGGUUACUUGGAUCUCUUAAAGGCUUGGGGCAUUGACGUUUAAGGUGCCCUUCCUCAUUGCAAUUCCAGCAUUGCAAUGGUCUUUUAGGUUUCCUCGCUAAUAAUGAUUCAAUCUUCUUUAGGCGGUCUUCGAGAUCACUUUCCGAAGUUCCGAUUUGUCUUAUUCGUGUUUGCCUUCUCGUUGCUUAAACAGCUGCCUCAUACUCUAGUCCAUGGGCCAAAUCUUCUGAUAUAUUUUUAUGAUGAGCCAUCCUUAGAGCGUGGUUAGUAUCUGGAUCUCGAACUCCGUCAAUAAAACAAUUUAUAGAAAUUUGUUCUCGGAACUCUGUUGGGGCUGAAGGGUAAGCCAGAUUUACUAAUCGAGCAACAUCGGCCUCAAACUGUUGGAGUCCUUCCUCGGGUUGUUGUCUUCUAGAUUUCAAUUGAGCCUGGUACACUUGUUGUAAAUGGGCUUCACCGUAUCUCAUCUCUAAGGUACGCACCAGUACGUCGAAAUUGAGCUGAUCCUCAGAUGGCACCAUUCUUAAUAUUUCUGUAGCUUCUCCUCUAAGGCUUAGCUUAAGAUUGAUUGCCUUUUUUUCGUUAUCCCAGCGAUUUUCCCUAACAGCGGCCUCAAAUUGAUUCAAAUAGGUACUCCAUGCUUCUUUGCCGUCGAAUUUUGGUGGCUUUACUUUCAUCAUUGUUUGCAUUCCAGGAUCGGGAUGAAGAGGAGUCCAUUUUACUUUCAUCUCUAGUUCUUGGAUCUUUUUUUGUACUUGCCCCAAUUCUUCUGCUACCGUUGCUUCAAAGUUAGUCAUUAAUUGUUUCUGAUUCUUCACCAGAUCUUCUUUAAGUUGUAAAACUCGUUCCUCUUUUUUCUGUCUCGUUCCUCCUGCUCCUUUUUAAGAUUAUCUUUUAAAUUAAGUAAGUCAUCUUUCAUGGUCCUUAUCAGGUCUUCAUUUUCCUUCUUCAGGUCAGAUUUAAUUGUCUUUAGUAAAUCUUCCUGUUUCUUGUCUCGCUCUUCUUGUUUGCGGUCUCGUUUUUCUUGUUCUUCCUUCUGUUUACGGUUUCGUUCUUCUUGUUCUACUUUUUGCUCUUCAAACUUCCUUAAUAGCAGCUCCAUCAAUUUCUCGGUCUCCAUCUUGGCCUGACUUCUUGUUAAAGGCAUCCACUAAAAUGAGCUUUCAAAUAUCCUUUACUUCUGACACAAAUUGUAACGAAAUUCGGGAACACACUUUUAUUGUCAACGUCAAAAGCACUAACCUAAGUCUCCUUGACUGUCGUUUAAUUGUUUCCAAGGUAAAAACUGACUUAACAAUUAAAACUGAAUUAAUUGUCACGAAGCGCGUCCUUUUUAAAACCUAAACAGUUUCGAAAUAUUUAGAAUUAUCUUCAUUAUUUUUGCCCAAAGAGACCAAUAAUUUUAGGAGAAUACUGACAGUCAAAUCAAGCAAGUAAACAAAUUCUAGAAAAUUAGAACUACAGGGAUCUACAAUAAUAUAACCUAAAUAACCUAAAUUGGGGCCAAAAUGGGGCUCUCGAACAAGAUGAACUACUUAAAAACUAAACACUAUAGAUGAAAAUAAUAAACCAAACAUAAGUAGAACCCUAAAGAAACCCUACGAAUCAAUUUUAACUACAGAAUACUAAUAAAAUUGUACAAAAACUAGCAGAAUAAUUAACGUAUUUACAUUUUCAUAAUAAUAUGUAUCUUAAUAAAUAUUAAUUAUUAUAAAAAGAGUGCUAUUAGAUUGGAUAUUAUGAACC